GGGUCAGUAGGUUGGUCGUGCCACCGGUACGUACUGGUCUCACUGAUUCCUCCUUCCUGAAGAACCGUAAUGCCAUUAAUUUGGUGUUGCGGGGAAACAGGACUGUUACUUUGAAAAAAUUAGAGUGCUUAAAGCAAGCUACCGCUUGAAUACAUUAGCAUGGAAUAAUGAAAUAGGACGAUCGAUCCUAUUUUGUUGGUUUCUAGGAUUGACGUA
rnacentral:rRNA from 1 species